GCUUGCUGGGGUCGGGACUGCGCGACGGCGCAGGGGCUGCGGGGAGCGCCGCGCAGGCCGUGCAGUUCCUAGCGAGGAGGCGCCGCCGCCAUUGCCGCUCUCUCGGUGAGCGCAGCCCCGCUCUCCGGGCCGGGCCUUCGCGGGCCACCGGCGCCAUGGGCCAGUGCGGCAUCACCUCCUCCAAGACCGUGCUGGUCUUUCUCAACCUCAUCUUCUGGGGGGCAGCUGGCAUUUUAUGCUAUGUGGGAGCCUAUGUCUUCAUCACUUAUGAUGACUAUGACCACUUCUUUGAAGAUGUGUACACGCUCAUCCCUGCUGUAGUGAUCAUAGCUGUAGGAGCCCUGCUUUUCAUCAUUGGGCUAAUUGGCUGCUGUGCCACAAUCCGGGAAAGUCGCUGUGGACUUGCCACGGUAAGAUGUGUUGUGAGAACACGCAGGAGUAUUUAGUCUACGCUACUCUCCUUGAACAUGAGACUCCUUGGCUCUUGUAGUUGGAACAGAGUUAACAUUUAAACUUCUAGCAAUUAUCUCUGAUAACUUUUUUUAAAUCAAGAGUGUAUUUAAAGUUAUUUUUUCAUUUGUAUAUAAUUUUAAACAAUGUUUUCUUACAGUUUGUCAUCAUCCUGCUCUUGGUUUUUG
rnacentral:sRNA from 1 species